rnacentral:SRP_RNA from 1 species
UCUGGUGCAGUGGCACGUUCCUGUAGUCCCAGCUACUCGGAAGGCUGAGGUGGGAAGAUCACUUGAGCCCAGGAGUUCUGGGCUGUAGUGUGCUAUGCCGACUGGGUGUCUGCACUAAGUUCAGCAUCAAUAUAGUGAACUCCCGGGAGCGUGGGACCACCAGGUUGCCUAAGGAGGGGUGAACUGGCCCAGGUAGGAAACAGAGAAGAUCAAAACUCCCGUGUUGAUCAGUAAUGGGAUCACACCUGUGAAUAGUCACUGUACUCCAGCCUGGGCAACAUAGCAAGACCCCAUCUCU